GACGAACGCUGGCGGCGUGCUUAACACAUGCAAGUCGAACGGAAAGGCCCUGCUUUUGUGGGGUGCUCGAGUGGCGAACGGGUGAGUAACACGUGAGUAACCUGCCCUUGACUUUGGGAUAACUUCAGGAAACUGGGGCUAAUACCGGAUAGGAGCUCCUGCUGCAUGGUGGGGGUUGGAAAGUUUCGGCUGUUGGGGAUGGACUCGCGGCUUAUCAGCUUGUUGGUGGGGUAGUGGCUUACCAAGGCUUUGACGGGUAGCCGGCCUGAGAGGGUGACCGGCCACAUUGGGACGGAGAUGCGGCCCAGACUCCUACGGGAGGCAGCAGUGGGGAAGAUUGCACAAUGGGCGGAAGCCUGAUGCAGCAACGCCGCGUGCGGGAUGACGGCCUUCGGGUUGUAAACCGCUUUCGCCUGUGACGAAGCGUGAGUGACGGUAAUGGGUAAAGAAGCACCGGCUAACUACGUG
rnacentral:rRNA from 1 species